rnacentral:tRNA from 1 species
GCUUCUCUAGCUCAGUUGGUAGAGCAAAGGACUGAAAAUCCUUGUGUGAAUGGUUCAAUUCCAUUGGGAAGCA